ACUUGGGAUUCGAACGGCAGGCGGGAAGUGCUCUAGCAGGGGAGUCUGACCUUGUGAGGGAAUACCUGUGUCCCCCCUUUUUUCCCCUUUUUACCCAAUAAAACCCUGCCUUACUCACCCUUUAAAUCAUCUGCGAGCCUGAAUUUUCAUGGCCGUGGGACGGACAAGAACUUUAUCUUCAGCUGAACUAAGAAAAAGUCCUGCAACAUUUUUGGCGCGCAAUGUGGGGGCACCAGAAGCGAAAGAACACCCCCUCUUAAACAUGGAGAUCGUUAUAUAGAAUGUCCAAGGCAAAUUAAGGAAAAUAAUUAUUGUAGCUGAUGAAGCAGAAACCCUAUUAGAGCUAAAUGCUACUUCACAGUACUCAGUGGUGGAGGUUCUGAAGUAAGUGCAUUUUUCAGCAUCUUUAGGCACCGUUGAGCUGUUGCAACUGUUCUGCUGGAGCCUUAUGUAUGUGGUUGAAACCACCUGUACUACUGGAAUGAAAGCACCUUUACAGAAGAGGCAAUGCAAGUUGUAUUCAUCACAUGUGUAGAAUGAAUUAAGAUUUAUGCCAGUUGCAAAGAAGAAUAUUGGCUCACUAUUUUUCCUCUGGGCAUCAGCAUAUGAUCCCCUGUUGAAGACAGACAAGUACAUCUUUCUGGUGGCUCCUAGACCUGGCAUUGGGAACAGAAGAUUAUCAGUAUGAUCCGUACGCUUAAGGAAAGAUCUCAUAUUAUUGAAAUGAAUAUUUUAUUUGAUAAAUUGAACUACAGAAUAAAGUACUUUUAACAAACCA
ensembl:lncRNA MIR924HG MIR924 host gene